GACGAACGCUGGCGACGCGCCUAACACAUGCAAGUCGAACGGAAAGGCCUGCUUUCCCUUGUGGCUUGCGGGUACUCGCGUGGCGAACGGGUGAGUAACACGUGAGUGAUCUGCCCCCAACUUGUGUAUAAGCCUGGGAAACUGGGUCUAAUUCCCGAUAGGACUGCAGGGUGGUGCCUGUGGUGGAAAACGAUUUUCUAGUGGUUGGGGAUGAGCUCGCGGCCUAUCAGCUUGUUGGUGGGGUAAUUGCCUACCAAGGCGGCGACGGGUAGCCGGCCUGGGAGGGUGGAAGGGCAAAUUGGGAAUGAGAGACGGACCAGACUGCGACGGGAGGAAGGAGUGGGGAAUAAUGGACAAUGGGAGGAAGCAGGAAGCAGCGACGCGGCGUGGGGGAUGACGGCCUGCGGGUUGGAAACUCCUUUCGACCGCGAGGAAGCCACCUGGUUGGAAGGGUGGUGACGGUAGUGGUAGAAGAAGCACCGGCUAACUACGU
rnacentral:rRNA from 1 species